rnacentral:rRNA from 1 species
AUGAUGAACGCUAGCUACAGGCUUAACACAUGCAAGUCGAGGGGCAGCAUUUUAGUUUGCUUGCAAACUGAAGAUGGCGACCGGCGCACGGGUGAGUAACACGUAUCCAACCUGCCGAUAACUCCGGGAUAGCCUUUCGAAAGAAAGAUUAAUACCGGAUAGCAUACGAAUAUCGCAUGAUAUUUUUAUUAAAGAAUUUCGGUUAUCGAUGGGGAUGCGUUCCAUUAGUUUGUUGGCGGGGUAACGGCCCACCAAGACUACGAUGGAUAGGGGUUCUGAGAGGAAGGUCCCCCACAUUGGAACUGAGACACGGUCCAAACUCCUACGGGAGGCAGCAGUGAGGAAUAUUGGUCAAUGGGCGCGAGCCUGAACCAGCCAAGUAGCGUGAAGGAUGAAGGCUCUAUGGGUCGUAAACUUCUUUUAUAUGGGAAUAAAGUUUUCCACGUGUGGAAUUUUGUAUGUACCAUAUGAAUAAGGAUCGGCUAACUCCGUGCCAGCAGCCGCGGUAAUACGGAGGAUCCGAGCGUUAUCCGGAUUUAUUGGGUUUAAAGGGAGCGUAGGUGGAUUGUUAAGUCAGUUGUGAAAGUUUGCGGCUCAACCGUAAAAUUGCAGUUGAAACUGGCAGUCUUGAGUACAGUAGAGGUGGGCGGAAUUCGUGGUGUAGCGGUGAAAUGCUUAGAUAUCACGAAGAACUCCGAUUGCGAAGGCAGCUCACUAGACUGUCACUGACACUGAUGCUCGAAAGUGUGGGUAUCAAACAGGAUUAGAUACCCUGGUAGUCCACACAGUAAACGAUGAAUACUCGCUGUUUGCGAUAUACAGUAAGCGGCCAAGCGAAAGCAUUAAGUAUUCCACCUGGGGAGUACGCCGGCAACGGUGAAACUCAAAGGAAUUGACGGGGGCCCGCACAAGCGGAGGAACAUGUGGUUUAAUUCGAUGAUACGCGAGGAACCUUACCCGGGCUUAAAUUGCAACAGAAUAUAUUGGAAACAGUAUAGCCGUAAGGCUGUUGUGAAGGUGCUGCAUGGUUGUCGUCAGCUCGUGCCGUGAGGUGUCGGCUUAAGUGCCAUAACGAGCGCAACCCUUAUCUUUAGUUACUAACAGGUCAUGCUGAGGACUCUAGAGAGACUGCCGUCGUAAGAUGUGAGGAAGGUGGGGAUGACGUCAAAUCAGCACGGCCCUUACGUCCGGGGCUACACACGUGUUACAAUGGGGGGUACAGAAGGCGGCUACCUGGUGACAGGAUGCUAAUCCCAAAAACCUCUCUCAGUUCGGAUCGAAGUCUGCAACCCGACUUCGUGAAGCUGGAUUCGCUAGUAAUCGCGCAUCAGCCAUGGCGCGGUGAAUACGUUCCCGGGCCUUGUACACACCGCCCGUCAAGCCAUGAAAGCCGGGGGUACCUGAAGUACGUAACCGCAAGGAGCGUCCUAGGGUAAAACUG